GACGAACGCUGGCGGCGUGCUUAACACAUGCAAGUCGAACGGAAAGGCCCUGCUUUUGUGGGGUGCUCGAGUGGCGAACGGGUGAGUAACACGUGAGUAACCUGCCCUUGACUUUGGGAUAACUUCAGGAAACUGGGGCUAAUACCGGAUAGGAGCUCCUGCUGCAUGGUGGGGGUUGGAAAGUUUCGGCGGUUGGGGAUGGACUCGCGGCUUAUCAGCUUGUUGGUGGGGUAGUGGCUUACCAAGGCUUUGACGGGUAGCCGGCCUGAGAGGGUGACCGGCCACAUUGGGACUGAGAUACGGCCCAGACCCCUACGGGAGGCAGCAGUGGGGAAUAUUGCACAAUGGGCGGAAGCCUGAUGCAGCAACGCCGCGUGCGGGAUGACGGCCUUCGGGUUGUAAACCGCUUUCGCCUGUGACGAAGCGUGAGUGACGGUAAUGGGUAAAGAAGCACCGGCUAACUACGU
rnacentral:rRNA from 1 species